UGGGGAAUAUUGCACAAUGGGGGAAACCCUGAUGCAGCGACGCCGCGUGAAGGAAGAAGUAUCUCGGUAUGUAAACUUCUAUCAGCAAGGGAAGAUAAUGACGGUACCUGACUAAGAAGCCCCGGCUAACUACGUGCC
rnacentral:rRNA from 1 species